rnacentral:rRNA from 1 species
GGCAACCUGCCCUAUACUGGGGAAUAAUCACUGGAAACGGUGACUAAUACCGCAUGUCAUUACGGAAGGGCAUCCUUCUGUAAGAAAAGGAGUAAUUCGGUAUAGGAUGGGCCCGCAUCUGAUUAGCUAGUUGGUGAGAUAACAGCCCACCAAGGCGACGAUCAGUAGCCGACCUGAGAGGGUGAUCGGCCACAUUGGGACUGAGACACGGCCCAAACUCCUACGGGAGGCAGCAGUGGGGAAUAUUGCACAAUGGGGGAAACCCUGAUGCAGCAACGCCGCGUGAAGGAAGAAGGUUUUCGGAUCGUAAACUUCUAUCAACAGGGACGAAGAAAGUGACGGUACCUGAAUAAGAAGCCCCGGCUAACUACGUGCCAGCAGCCGCGGUAAUACGUAGGGGGCAAGCGUUAUCCGGAAUUACUGGGUGUAAAGGGAGCGUAGGCGGCACGCCAAGCCAGAUGUGAAAGCCCGAGGCUUAACCUCGCGGAUUGCAUUUGGAACUGGCGAGCUAGAGUACAGGAGAGGAAAGCGGAAUUCCUAGUGUAGCGGUGAAAUGCGUAGAUAUUAGGAAGAACACCAGUGGCGAAGGCGGCUUUCUGGACUGAAACUGACGCUGA